GGAAGAAGACUGACGCUGAGGGAGAUGAUAUUUGCCCGGCUCCUACGGGAUAAUUCUCUUUCUUUCUCUCUCUUUCUCCUCAGCAGAAUUCUGAAGAACAGUUGCAGUAUUACACUUUUGCAGCGAAAAACAACAAAACGCUACAAUAUACAGACUUUCUUACGAACCUAUUUAUCCAACAGAGCAAUUUUAUGCAAAACUCUGAAAGAAAUUAAAGGCAAGAGAUAAGAAAAUAUAAAUAUUUUCUUGCAAAUAAUCAUGACUUCCUUUAAGUUGACGCACAGAACCUUAUUCGUUCUGUUCAAUUACAACUUGCUCGUCUUCCCCUCCCUCAGGAUCUGCUUGCUCUUUCUUGUUUUGCAAUUUGACAUUCAUUAAUUCAUCCUUGACUAAGCCACUUCAGCAUACUUUUGUAUUAAGUCCACAUUUAAUGAGCACCUAUUCUCCUAGCACACAAAAUUCUUAACCAAAUUUCCACUGUAUUGAACUUUUAAAUAUUUUUUCUUGAUGAGUCAUAUCCCACUUUGAUAGUUGUUUUUGUUUUGUAUUGCAUCGAAUAAUUUGAGCAUUGGACAAUAACCAAAAUAAAAAUGGAACUGUGUAUAUUUUA